ACAUUCCUACAAGAUAGUGUUAAUGCACUGAAUCCCAUUAGAACUUCUUAUUUAAGAGCACUCAUGAUAAAGUAGUACUGGGAUGGACGACUGCUUGGGAAGUCCUAGUGUUUUACAUGCC
rnacentral:rRNA from 1 species